rnacentral:rRNA from 1 species
UAGAGUUUGAUCAUGGCUCAGGAUAAACCCUGGCGGCGUGCCUAACACAUGCAAGUCGAACGAUCCCGCACGGGAGAGUGGCGGAAGGGUGAGUAACACGUGGGAAUCUACCUCCUCGCAGGGAACAACCUCUCGAAAGAGAGGCUAAUACCCAAAAGGGUCAGAAAUGAUCAGAGUCGAAAGGCGUGAGGAGAGGAGCCCGCGGCCCAUCAGCUAGUUGGUGAGGCAAUGGCUUACCAAGGCUACGACGGGUAGGGGAUCUGAGAGGAUGUCCCCCACACUGGAACUGAAACACGGUCCAGACGCCUACGGGUGGCAGCAGUGAGGAAUAUUGGACAAUGGGCGAAAGCCCGAUCCAGCAACGCCGCGUGGAGGAUGAAGGCCUUCGGGUCGUAAACUUCUUUAGAGGGAGACGAGAAAGGACGGUAUCCCUAGAAUAAGCGACGGCAAACUACGUGCCAGCAGCCGCGGUAAUA